UAUUCCCUUAUUGGGAGCACAAGAACCCUUAUAGAGUCCUUUGUAGGUUCUCCAUCGUUAGGAGAAAAUAACAGAGGCCAACCAGAGAAUAUUGAGAAGCAAAGCAGCUAGUAAGCCUGAUCUUUAUUGAAACUGUUGCAACAGAAUGCUCCCCUCACACACAGGAAAGGAGGAAGACCCCAAACAAAGGUGUGCCUGCCCUUAUAUAGACAUUUUAAAUUGCCUUCCCUGGCACUCAAGACCACCCCCAGAAACAUCAUACCUACAUCACAGAAAAGGCGGUCUACAACAGAAAUCUGAGUGCGUUGUUUAUCUCCUGUCUGGCAGGUUACCUGUUAAUGGUCACUUGAUUGGAUACCCUGGGGAGCCUGGCCAGUCUUUUGUAAUGACAAAUACUUAGUACCUGAGCCAGGUCACAGGCUCACCCUAUUCAUACACAGACAUACCCUUAAGACAGGAUUUAUGAACGAAAAAACAAUGGGGAGGCUUUUCCAUUUUCCUUUGACAUUGCAGAGGUCAAUUUGGGAGGGACAAAAUGGUUUCAGGACUUUUUCUGUGGGGUUUCAGACAUGUGGUUUAUAUAUGCAGUUAUGAACAUUUAUCUUUUAUAUAUAUAUGUAUAAGACCUAAAAAAAAAUUAUUUCAAGAGAAAAAGUGAGGGGCAGAUGGGGCCUGUCAACCUGGGAAGGUAGCCCAUCUAUUCUAGAAGAAGGAAAACUCUGAUCCUAAACCCCUGCUGCCUUGCAGGAUAUCUUUGGGAGAAGAAAAGGCUAAGAAGUAAACCUUACACAAAUGCAGAGUGGAGUCCCUAAGGUGGUUGGGUGGCGCUUUGUAUGCCUCCUCCUGGCAACUCCUGCAGCCAAACUGGCGCCAAAUGUCUUACUCUACUUUCCUUUGGACCACAUCAGUGAGGCUGAGAGUGGAGUUUUGUUGUCUGGGCAGCCCAGGACCUCCAUACACACUGCCCAGGCUCCUGUCCCAGAGAGGUCACUUCUGUGCUACUUAACGCAGCAGUUUUACUUCACCUCCAGAGGCACACUCCAUUGUUUCUCGAGACAGAAGCCAGCAAUAUCACCUGGGGGAUAUGUGUAUGUAUAAAUAUGCCUGUAUUAGUGAGCAUUCAGAAAUACAUUGCAUUAGGAGAAACUGCAAUGACAAACCUAGACAGCAUCUUAAAAAGCAGAAACAUCACCUUGCCGACAAAGGUCCGAAUAGUUAAAGCUAUUGUUUCCCCAGUACUGUAGUGAUGUAUGGAAGUGAGAGCUGGACCAUAAAGAAGGCUGAUCGCCGAAGAAUUGGUGCUUUUGAAUUAUGGUGCUUGAGGAGACUCUUGAGAGUCCCAUGGACUGCAAGAAGAUCAAACCUAUCCAUUCUGAAGGAAAUCAGCCCUGAGUGCUCGCUGGAAGCUGAGGCUCUAAUACUUUGGCCACCUCAUGAGAAGAGAAGACUCCCUGGAAAAGACCUUGAUGCUGGGAAAGAAUUGAGGGCACAAGAAGAGGACAACAGAGGACGAGAUGGCGUGCUCUGGUCCAUGGGGCCAUGAAGAGUCGGACACGACUAAACGCCUAAAUAACAAGGAGAAACUGCUUGAGAAAAUGUGCGUACAGUAUUUGUCAAAACUUCAUUCAAAGGUAUGCUGAUUAGGGGAAACCCCUGCUAAAAACUGAAAAAAAAUUAAUGAUUGUUAUUUCUUUUCUUUAAAAAAAAGGAUCUGCAGAUUGCUGGGAAAUGUGGAGAACUGAAUUUUAGAUUAGGGAACUAAGAAUUGGUGAGAAACCAUUUGCCUUUCCCUACCUAUAACAAAGUCUAAGCAAAUGCUAACUAAAACAGACACAUAUUCUCUCCCUGUCCACUUACCUUCCUUUCCUUUCUUUCCCUUGUAGUAAAUUUAAGACUGUAAGCUCCCUGGGGCAGGGAUCCAUAUCUCUUGUGCUCUCUAAUGUGUCCUGUGUGCUGACAGCACUGAGUAAAUAUGCCGGAAGUGAGUUUCGUUGGCGGGGUGUGUGGAAUUCUUCUACAGCGCUGCAAGCUCUCAGCCACUAAGCCACAGUACUACAAGUUUAAUCCUAUUAAACCCUUGCGCCAAAGGAAAUUGCUCCAGGCUAAGAGGUUUGCUUUGCUACAAUACGCAUCUCUGAUCACUGAGACAAUUUCUGGAGGGCAUCAGCACUACUUGAAAUUAAGCCUAGUUCAGUGCUUUUUUUGUUGUUUCAUGUGAAUCAAUUCUCACAAGCUUUCUUCUUCUUUUUAAGUGUUAUGUUGGGGGUUUUCGACUUCUUGCAAGCCUGCAAACAGUUUAUUGCUCUGCAAGCAGGAAUUGAGCUGUCAUAGAUAGUGCUGGUAUUUGUAUAAGGAAAGAUAUAUAGCCUCCCUUGGCUUGGAAGCUGAGUUCUCUGGCUAGGGGGCCUGGCUGAAGAGAGAUAAGGCGAGGGCCUCCUUUUCUUAAUGGCCACUAGUUAAGUUAAAACUGAAUAAACAAAUAAAAAAACCAGCUAUUUCCCACCGGGGAAACAAACAGAACUGAAAAAAGGAAGGCACCAUCAUGGCCUGGUGCAGUUCAGUCGUGUUUCAUCUGGAACCGGGAGUCUUAAGUUUGCAGAGGAAGGAGAGGAUGGUCAAAGUGUGCAGAUGUCAACACAAGAACCCCCUGCUGGAUUGGACCCAUGGCCCAUCUAGUCCAGCAGCCUGCUCUCAAAGUGACCAAACAGAAGCCUAGGGGAAGCAUGCAAGCAAGGCCAGUUGAAGAUAUUUUGCCACCUGUGGCAAAAUAGAAAAUGGUGCCGCCCUCCCCUGCUGUUGCUGCCUGAGGCAACCGGAGGCAGCCAAGGGAAGCCCAGGAGCACUGAAGGUGGUGGGAGAAAAAUAAGGAGGCCAAAGAGAAGCAGGCAGCAGCAGGUCUCCCUUCUCUUCCCAGGAGGUGGCCACAGGUGACAAGCACAAGAGAAGGAGGUGAUCGGUCAGUGGCAUGCAGUGAAAUUUUUCAUAGGGGAACAGUAAGGGCCAGAGGCACUAGCUUGCAAGGGCAAUUGGGGGGUUGACAUCAUACACAUGAUGUCCUGAUGUCCUGACAUCAUGCAUGUGAGCAUAGUGCUUCCCUCCCUAAGCUGGGCAGAAGCUUAGGGGCACAUUUAGGGGACUGACCUAGUUCCCCUACUCCAUUGUGAGCAGUGCAAUGCUAUGGAGCAUGGCUCUGUCGCCUCUCCCUGCUGUGCCCAGCCUGCCGCCUGAGAUGGCUAAUGAGCAGGCCGGCCCUGACUUGAGCGCAACAGCAACUCUUCCCCACUUGCCAUUCUCAGCAACAGGUGUUUAGAAACCUACUGCCUCUGGGGGAACAUAGCCAUUGAUAGCCUGGGCAGCGCUUGGGGGAGGGAAGAGAAACCCACAGAGCCAAUCUAAGUAAUCUCAUGCAAAGAGAACCUGGUGGAGGCCCCUGAGUAAACAUCUGUGAGCCCUUGGGGGUCUGCAGGUGCCACGGUGAGAACCCCAACUUGGCAGUUAUCCAGCCAACAUGUUAUUGGGGCAUGGAUAACUGUGACUAGGGAGCCAGUGUGGUGUAGUGGUUAAGAGUGAUAGACUCGUAUUCUGGGGAACCGGGUUCGCAUCUCCACUCCUCCACAUGCAGCUGCUGGGUGACCUUGGGCCAGUCAUACUUCUUUGAAGUCUCUCAGCCCCACUCACCUCACAGAGUGUUUGUUGUGGGGGAGGAAGGGAAAGGAGAAUGUUAGCCGCUUGAGAUUCCUUCGGGUAGUGAUAAAGUGGGAUAUCAAAUCCAAACUCUUCUACUAGAUCAUCUCCCUAAGGACACAUGGAGAACCCUGCUAGAUCUGGCGAAAGGCCCAUCUAGCCUCCUGUCAUUAUGGUGGCCUUCCAGAUGCGUGUUAGGAAUCCCCCAUAAAACAGCACUCUCCCUGCUUUCGAUUCCCAGCAACUAGCAUUCGGAGGCGGACUGUGUCUUCCCAAAAAGAAUUAUUGGAGGGAGGGUUUUUUGUUUUUUUUACCAGGGAGUGAUGUGAAACAGAAGAUGGGGACAGCUGGAGCAGAUGGCCGUUACAUCGAAACGUCUGCUGCCCAAGCUCAGGUUAUGGAAACACUGAGAGCCCAGGGAGUGAGUAAGUACUGGAAGCACUGUCAGAGGGAUUUGCAAAUAGCCAUGUGGCUAAUUGAUUUGAUCUCGGGGCUUGUUGCCUCUUGCCUCCUCCAAAUGGUGGUUCUUUAAUGAGGCCCGCUGACUAAUUGGCACUCGUUAAUGGGACCGUGACUGCCAGUUGCUCCAGGCCCUGUUUUGCUGCUCUGCAUGAUCACGGACGCCUCGCUUAUGAAUAGGCAUCCUUCUGAACAUUCCCGCCAUACCUGGGGAUAACAAUUAUCCAGAGUUCUCAUGCACUGAUCAGGAGCUGCCUCUUUACUGUUCUCUGGCUCAUCGGUGUGCCUCCCUGGGCCCUGCAUAAAAGCAGAGAGGGGCCAUUCCAUAAGGAUAGUGCUGAAGCUCAGACCUGAGAAUGUCCCACGCUGUGCUUUAUUGAAAGGCCUUACCGUGUGUGGGGAGAGUGGGGAAGGAGCUCAUUGGCAGGGAUGGAGAGAUCUGGUCAACUGUGGUUCUCAUGCCCACCUCCCAAAAAAUCUUAAAAUCUUUACGCUCCCACAGAACUCAUAAUUAUAAAAUAUCUUAUGGGAAAUCCAUCAGUGUGUCAGUUCAAAUUUCCCCUACCAUACAUAUUUUUGUAUACAGUUUGUUUUGAUUUGUAGACAACCCUUCCUCUGAAGAUCACAGAGUGGUUCAUUCACAACAUAAAACACAAUAUG
rnacentral:lncRNA from 1 species